CGGCCAACACAAGCUCACUGGAAAAACGUACCUGUGGCAACAUUUUUGCAAAACGCAAAAUAUGUACCAAUAUGUACAUAUCACUGCAGUUUCCAACAGAAAUGAACACUAGAGGCAGUAAAACAGCAAGCACUUUUGAUCGUUUUCGCACACAAUUAUGAUUACUGGGGCAGAUUAUGGAUCAGUAAAGACUUGUUUUCACACAGCUCCUUGCACAAUUAUGUUAUGACCUCAAAACACUAUCAUAGUGCAUGAUUUGUAAACAAACAUAUUUUGGAGUUUGCAUCAUUAACCAGCUCCAUAUGUUCAGUUUUACUUACAUACUUACAACGUAAUUACCAAGGUCCAGAAAAGUAGUAAAACUUUGUUAAAACAGUCAACGUGACUACAGUGUUUCAACCUUAUUAUUAUAAAGCGAUGAAAAUACCUUUUGUGCGCAAAAACAAAACAAAAAUAAUGACUUUAUUCAACAAAUUCGUCUCUCCCCUGUCAUUCUGCUAAGCUAUUUACGUUGCAGAGCUUCUGUGUUUAUGUCCAAACGCAGGCUCAGUAUUGGCCGGCUCUGGUCACAUGAGCAGCACAACACAUGCAUUUGAUGCUGACACAGGAGCCAGCUAAUACUGAGCCAGCGUUCUGACGUAGAACCUGGAAGCAUUGCAAUGCUCUAACUUCAUAGUUUUGCAUUAGAUAACGCAACUUGCAUGGUAACCGCAAACCAAUUCCACGUUCUACACUUCCCCACCUCAGUCUGCAGAAAAACUGCAUUUCUUAUUUGCACUGUGCGCGACAAGACUCUUAAACACGGUGUAGUUAAUGAGUAUGAGUCAAAAAAAUGGAAUUGAUAAUGUGUGAAUGUAUAACAGUGCCACUUUUACAGUGUUCAAAGCAUGGGCACACCAUAAUGCCACACUUAGUGCUUUCAAAAACAAGUAUAAAAUUACCAUUUGAUGAAUUCUCUCAUCUGCGCAGAAAAACACCCAAAUGUGGUGCUUCAGACCUCCUCAUCAGCCUCAGUGUCAGACUCGUAGUAAAACCAGGCCUCGGCGUGACUGAAGGCGGAAAUGCCAAAAUGAAAGACGCUUAAAGUAUAUGUAACAAAUUGUAAGGACAUUCCAACAAAUUUAUUUUACUUGUAAAUUGUAAUGAAGGGCUGACAGCGUGAGGAUCCAUUUGCAGUUUCUUUAUUGUGACAACAAAGCACAAGGCAGACAAGGGCAAGACAGUAGCAGAAAACAGGGACAGGCUUGGGUCGAGGCAGGCGGCAGACAAACAGAGACUUACAACAGGCAGAGUUCAGGGCAGGCGGCAGACAAACGUAAUCCAGGAAACAGGCAAGGUUCAAGGCAGGCGGCAGAGGUUCACAAAUGAUAAACAGUCCAAUCGAUAGCAAGAUAACAGUCCACAAGAAAACGCUCAGUAGUGAUCACCGGGGCAAAUCAAGACUUCGCAGUGUAUGGAUGCGUGUGUGCGUCUUAAAUAGUGUGAGUGUGAUGUAAUGCAGGUGUGUGCAAUCAGUCCCAGGAAUGAGGGCCUAUGGGUAACGUAGUCCACAAGGAAGUGACUCAGAACUCAGGUGAUGGCUCCCUCUGGCGGCCGGGAGGAGGAGCCGCGGGAGCCGUAUUCGUGACAUAAAUCACCUUCAUCCAGGAAAUCAAAACGGCAUGAGAAGCUUUACAUUAUUCUGUACAUCUCUGCCUCUCAUGAACUUAACUUUAACGAGCGCCCUUAACCUUGACAAAAAACACAUUUAGUUAGUCAUUUCUAAAAUGUGGUCACCACCACUUAUUUUAACUAAAAAUGUUUAAAGGAAUAUAUUUCCUAUUUAAUUUUAGGAAGAGAAAACCAAUCAAACUUACCGUCUUGGUCGCACGAAGAUACAAUAGCAGCGGCGGCGUUUUGCGAGGCAGCAGUCAUCAAAGGGUGGAGUCAAGACAUUUCUGCGUUUUUUUUUUUUUUUUUGCACUUUCAGUGUAAAAAUAAAAUUACACCAUGUAGCACCCUGUAACACUGAAAAGGAGUACUUUAACACUGUAGAUUGUUAAUUCAACUCUUUGGGUAAUAAUAACGUUUAACACUGCAAUUUUUACACUGCUGAUUUUACUGUGCAUUACAAAAUGUAAUAUUACAUAUUACAUUUGAAAAUGUGAUCUGUUGCCC